GUUGCUAUUUCCAUAAGUUGUUUGUACAUUUUGAUGAUGGUGUAGUAUCUGAAAGCUCAUGGCUUUUGUGGCUGUUUAUAGUUAGCAAGAUCCUGUAGAUGAAUCCCUGUGAUUCAGACAUUCUGUUUGAUGGUUAGUUGUUGCUGAACCACUGUUAAAGACUAAAACUUUGGAUCUUUGUUUGCUUUUAUGUGCAGGACAAUUCAUAUUGGUCGAUAAAUGCGAAUGCCUACAAAUAUGGAUAUUCCGGACCUGAGAGCACGUCUUACUAUGACCCUUAUGAAGUUAAUGAGAAUUUACCAAGACUUGAUGUCAGCACUAGCACUAGAGCUUGGCAAUAUCCCUCCGUGGAAAAUGUCGAAGGCCCCACCACAACAGAAGUGCAUUCUGAAGAAGAAGCCAUCACGGAUUUACACUCUAUACCUGAAGAAUGUGAGUCAAAUGAUUCAUCUUGGACCUAGUCAAAUUCCAUAUCUUUUGUAUCAUAUGUUGUCUGUUGUUCCGCAAUCGAAUUCCUUGUUGGACUUCACAAGCACAAUAGACACAAUGCAGUAAGAAUGCAAAUGGUAUCUGAAAAUGAGUCCUGAAACUUACUCACUGGUUUUGUAGGCAUAACAGAUAAUCCAGGAAGCAGUAGUCCCCAGGUAAGAAGCUCUCUGAAUUUACUUGAAAUUCCUUUUGCAUAAGAAUGAAAAGAUUCAGGCUUGUCUGUGUAUUCUGGCAGGAUGUGUGGCAGGAUGACGUUGAUCCAGAUAACAUGACCUAUGAGGUUUGCUUCAUACCCUAUUCCAUGAAUGCACGUAGUUGAAUCAUUGAGUCUUACAUUGAGCUCGAUCGCCCCCCUAUUCUUGCUCGUUGAGGCUUAACUAUACCGUGUGUUUCGCAGGAACUACUGGACUUAGGCGAGGCAGUAGGAACCGAGAGCAGAGGCCUGUCUGAGGAACUUAUCAGUAUGUUGCCGACAUCCAAGUGCAAGUUCGGGAGUUU
rnacentral:lncRNA from 1 species